AGGGAUUUAGCUCAGUGGCAUAAGCACCUGCCUGGCAAGCAUGAGGUCGUGAGUUCAAUCCCUG
rnacentral:tRNA from 1 species